UCAAUAAUGAAAUCUUCUGAUUUGGUGAGAAAUAAUGCCUUAAAAUUACACUCAAUAGGAUUAUGCUGAGG
ensembl:snoRNA SNORD115-46 small nucleolar RNA, C/D box 115-46